GACUAAGAUAAGCCUUUAUGCCAACACGCAGUUGUUGACGCAAAGUGAUUUCUGCCCAGUGCUCUGAAUGUCAAAGUGAAGAAAUUUAAUGAAGUGGGGGAAAAUGGUGGGAGUAACUAUGACUCUCUUAAGGUAGCCAAAUGCCUCAUCAUCUAAUUAGUGAUGCGCAUGAAUGGAUGAAC
rnacentral:ncRNA from 1 species